GGAGGUGAGGGUGUUUCUUGCUGGAGAUCCCUGCCUACCUGAGCCCUUCCACAGUGAUCGACUGAGGGAGAGCAAAAGAGUGAACCCGUACCUCUCCCUCCGUGACUCCCACCACGGACUGGAUUCAUGGAAUAUUGUGAUGCUGCAGUAGUAACUAUCUCUGCAUUCCUAUAACACUUCGCAGCUUGGAUGGAGUCUCAUUGGAUUUUCUCCAGCUUUAAAGAAGCAGGAUGAGGCACGGGGAAUUUUUCUAGAGAAAAGAGCAAUUUGGGCUAUAUGUUGCAUUAAAAGAAGAGGCUUUUAAGGGCUCCCAUUCAGUGUGGCUAGAAGCUAACUUGGCCAACUGCCAGGAGUUGUGCUCACCAUGCAAGUAUCAAAAAGGAAAUCAGGAUUUAAAACAAAAAAAAAAUUGUAUUCUCACCUCUUGGCCCAACCUGGGCAUCAGAUCAAAAAGGAGGAGAAUCAAUAUCAGCUUUAUAUCUGCUAGAUACUCAAUGUCACAUGGAAUGAAAGGGUUCUUAAAUAAGAAAUAAAAACAGAACAGACUAAAUAGAAAGGCUAAAUAGUUAGCAGGUCUUUGUAAAUAUAAGAGACUGCAUCCAAGAGGAUCAAAUUAGUGUGCUAUGCACAGUUUAACAUCAUCGCCAACUGUUACGAUAAGUUCUUGUGAUAUACGCUGUUUUUUAAACCUAAUUUCUUGAACUCAUCCUAUUGUGUGAGAAUAUCAGCUUCUGUUUAAAAACAAGUGCGUUUUGUCAUUGUAGCUAAAGAGUAAGUGAAAAAUAUGACAUUGAGAAGGUCAACACAGAAUUAAUUAAAGUCAAAUUAAAGUCAGUAUUUUUUAAACCAAAUCUCUGUGGUUAUGAGGAAAGAAGCUGACUCACUACUUUUCUGUACCUGUUCUGCCAGAAUGCAUUGCACAUUU